AUUGAACGCUGGCGGCAGGCCUAACACAUGCAAGUCGAGCGGAUGAAGGGAGCUUGCUCCUGGAUUCAGCGGCGGACGGGUGAGUAAUGCCUAGGAAUCUGCCUGGUAGUGGGGGAUAACGUCCGGAAACGGGCGCUAAUACCGCAUACGUCCUGAGGGAGAAAGUGGGGGAUCUUCGGACCUCACGCUAUCAGAUGAGCCUAGGUCGGAUUAGCUAGUUGGUGGGGUAAAGGCCUACCAAGGCGACGAUCCGUAACUGGUCUGAGAGGAUGAUUAGUCACACUGGAACUGAGACACGGUCCAGACUCCUACGGGAGGCAGCAGUGGGGAAUAUUGGACAAUGGGCGAAAGCCUGAGCCAGCCAUGCCGCGUGUGUGAAGAAGGUCUUCGGAUUGUAAAGCACUUUAAGUUGGGAGGAAGGGCAGUAAGUUAAUACCUUGCUGUUUGGACGUUACCAACAGAAUAAGCACCGGCUAACUUCGU
rnacentral:rRNA from 1 species